GNGGAUUUAGCUUAAUUAAAGUGAUUGAUUUGCGUUCAGUUGAUGUAAGAUAUAAUCUUGCAAUCCUUA
rnacentral:tRNA from 1 species